rnacentral:rRNA from 1 species
UACGUAGGGUGCAAGCGUUGUCCGGAAUUAUUGGGCGUAAAGGGCUCGUAGGCGGUUUGUCGCGUCGGGAGUGAAAACUCGGAGCUUAACUCCGAGCCUGCUUCCGAUACGGGCAGACUAGAGGUAUGCAGGGGAGAACGGAAUUCCUGGUGUAGCGGUGAAAUGCGCAGAUAUCAGGAGGAACACCGGUGGCGAAGGCGGUUCUCUGGGCAUUAACUGACGCUGAGGAGCGAAAGCGUGGGGAGCGAACAGG